UACUAAGGCCAGAGAAGUUGCAGCCUGCAAGGGUUAAUUUUGGUAACUAACUUAGUCGUUGCCUAUUUGGAGGCAAAGCGCGUGUUACAGUCAAGAGGAAGCUGUCAAGCUUCUGUUUGAAAGCAGAAUCGGCUCUGCACCUCAGUGAAGUGAAUGACAAGCGGACACGGGACAAUAACGUCACUGCUCUGUUGCUCCUUUAACAUUGCGUAACGCGCGCGAUGCUGAUAUGCAAACAGCCAGCUGAUAUUUCAUAGCUCACGGCGGCCUGAUGGAGGGGACGACUGCGGAUCUGAAAACAUCUUAGCAGAGCAGCUCGGACACGGAAGGGAUCAAACUAUAUCCGGACGAUUUUCUCCAGUGGUCUGCUGUGCGUUGAAGAGCGAGGUUUUUUUGGCGCAUAAAGGAGUAAACCGAGAGGAUGGCAGGCCCUGAUUCCCCGCAGCAGCAGGUUGAAGAGAAAGCCGAGCAGAUCGAUGACACCGAGCUGGCGUUUCAAGGCAUCAAUAUGCUGCUCAAUAAUGGCUUCAGAGAAAGCGACGAGCUCUUCAGGAGAUACCGGACCCACAGUCCACUGAUGAGCUUCGGUGCCAGUUUUGUCAGUUUCUUGGUAAGUGAACUCAGUUAAAUGGUU